UUUGCGUCUGAGGCGGCCUUGGCCAUUUGCUGUAGGGCCUCUCUGCCUUCGCAUUGGAGCCACCUGGGUGAAGUUUACCCUGGCUCCCGCCUGCUGCACCGUCACCUCCGGCCCCUCAUUACGGAAAUGAAGACCACUAAGGAGCAUGAGCGUCGUAACCGCCCGCCUGGAGUUGACUUCUCUUGAGGUGAUCAGCCACGUGACCCUAGUCACCCCCUCCUUUACACUACGCCCCAGGAUCCCCGGCGGCAGAGAUAAAGAGCUGGACUUUAGACUCAGACGACCGCGCUCUUAAACCUUAGAUGGACCUCAUCCCAGCCAGGUGAUCUCGCAUGCUCCCGACGCUGUGCUCAGCUUCCGUCUCCUGCUCUUCGGGAAGCGCUUCCUAGCCCGGCCCCGCCAGGGUUACGCGGAGGAUUGAAUGGCACUCUUCCCACACUGUGCCUGGCGCGUCCAGGCUCGGUCACUUAAGGCUGCUUUCCUGAACCACCGCAGGUCCCUUUUCCCACAGCCGCAGGAGUCCCCCUCAGCAGGUUGCUUGCCCUCUCAGGACUUGUUUGCAGGGUGCUAAAAUGGCACUGGAGCUGUGGUGGCUGGCAAAGCACCCUGCAAAUAUUAAUCCCCUUUCCAUCCCAGAACUUUGAGACCCGCCAUUAUCCUUACGGGGCCCGGUUUCCUCUUCUGGAAGCUGCAGGCACUCAUCACAGCACCCGGCAUAUGGCAGGUCUUCAGUCCAAAGAUGGAAUGACAACUGGCAAUGUUCAAGUUGGUGGCUGCUCUAUCAACUUGGCACCUGGAGUAAAGACAGCACAAAACAGAGCACACAACAGUCUCACAAUGUGUGUUGGAAGCCACUCACUUGGGGGUUGUUACUGCAGCACAACCCAGCCCAUCCUGACUGAUACAGGGUCAUGUCUGGUGAGUCAAAGCUGCCAUGAGCCUGGUGAAAACCUAUCAAGACCCAUCCUUUUGUUAAACCUGAGUUUGGAGACUCCAAGCCCACUUCCCUGGUCUCUCAGAUAAACCUGCUGCAGAGGAAAGAAAGAUAUUCCUUGGUGGCCUGACUGGAAUGAAAAAUUUCAGGAUCGAGAAGCCAGGGGAUUCUUAGUCCUUAAAAGGCAUUCUAUGUUAGACAAGUUAAAGGCUGAGUGAGUUAUUUCCCAGCUGAACGUCCUUGGGCUGGUGGAAGAUUAAAUGAAGUACCUACAUCAAGUGCCUAGCAUAGCACACUGUGAGCUCUGGACACAAAGAUACUCACCGAAACCUUGUCGUUAAUUAGAAACCAAUAAUCCAACAAUAGAGGAACAGUUAACUAAUUAUGGUACAUUCAUGUACUGCUACAUAGCUAAAAGGGGGGGGGAAGAAAGGAAGAAGGUAGGGCAAUGUAAUAUGUAGGUUAUGAUAGACCAUUGCUAAGUGAAAAGAGCAAGUUAUCAAACAGGUUAGCUUUAGAAACAGACCCAGAAAUGAGUCCCAGCUCUCCUAGCUGUGUGUCUUGGGGAAGGCUCUUUUUUUCUUUUUUUUUUUUUUUUUUUUUUUUUGAGACAGAGUUUUGCUGUUGUUGCCCAGGCUGGAGUCCAAUGGUGCAGUCUCAGCUCACUGUAACCUCCGCCUCCCAGAUUCAAGCAAUUCUCCUGCCUCAGUCUCCCGAGUAGGUGGGAUUACAGGCAUGCACCCACCACCACUCCCAGCUAAUUUUGUAUUUUUAGUAGAGACGGGGUUUCACCAUGUUGGUCAGGCUGGUCUUGAACUCCCAACCUUAGGUGAUCUGCCCGCCUUGGCCUCCCAAAGUGCUGGGAUUACAGGCGUGAGCCACUGUACCUGGCAAGCAAGGCUCUUAACUGCUCCAAACUUCACAGACUGGCAAAAACAGAAGCUCAAUAAAUGUGAGCUAUUACAUUAUUGUUGUCACUAUUAAUAAUAAAUCUAUAGGUCAACGUUGGCUGGGCACCUGACUUCCAUUAUCAUAGCUCUGCGAUCCCGUAAUCCAUCUCCCCCAUGACCUUGUGAAGUUGAUCUUAAUCCAUUUUACACACAAGACUACUGAGGCUCAGAGAGGUUAAGCCAGUUGCCCCAAGUCCCCAAGUCACCAAUAGGAGAGUUAAGAUCUGAAUCCAGUUUUGUCUGGUUGCAAAUUCACUCUCUUAACCAUUGUUCCCUGCUGGC